rnacentral:misc_RNA from 1 species
AAGUCGUAACAAGGUUUCCGUAGGUGAACCUGCGGAAGGAUCAUUAACACGUAUCCACGUUAAACCAACCGUGCACUUUCAAUUAUGCGUUGUUUUUGAGCUCGAGGUCAGUUCGCUUUCCAAGAGUUCGAAGACGAUUCGUUUCGGCUCGGCACGUGUCGUGAAGUUGGUGCUUGCACCGGCGAUGGAUGCCACCUCUGACGAGAGUGAAACUGGAAGGGUACGUAACUCGACAGUUUCGACGUGGGGGCCGGAUCGAAAUUUGUGGUAAUGAGAGGGUUCUGGAACUCUACGGGGUAACUGUCUGAGUUGCACAUCCAUUUCAAACCCCUUAAAAAAAAUUGACAUCCGAGACCUCAGGGUAAAACCGAGGCUCGAGCAACCGAACAACUGUUAACAAUGGAUAUCUUGGUUCUC